AUUGAACGCUGGCGGCAGACUUAACACAUGCAAGUCGAGCGGGGUGAUGGUGCUUGCACUAUCACUUAGCGGCGGACGGGUGAGUAAUGCUUAGGAAUCUGCCUAUUAGUGGGGGACAACAUCUCGAAAGGGAUGCUAAUACCGCAUACGUCCUACGGGAGAAAGCAGGGGAUCACUUGUGACCUUGCGCUAAUAGAUGAGCCUAAGUCGGAUUAGCUAGUUGGUGGGGUAAAGGCCUACCAAGGCGACGAUCUGUAGCGGGUCUGAGAGGAUGAACCGCCACACUGGGACUGAGACACGGCCCAGACUCCUACGGGAGGCAGCAGUGGGGAAUAUUGGACAAUGGGGGGAACCCUGAUCCAGCCAUGCCGCGUGUGUGAAGAAGGCCUUAUGGUUGUAAAGCACUUUAAGCGAGGAGGAGGCUCUUUUGGUUAAUACCCAAGAUGAGUGGACGUUACUCGCAGAAUAAGCACCGGCUAACUCUGUGCCAGCCGCCGCAGUAA
rnacentral:rRNA from 1 species